rnacentral:rRNA from 1 species
GAACCUGCGGAAGGAUCAUUACUGAGAGGGGUUUUCGGACCCCGGGGGCUUCGGCCCUCAUCUCUUCACCCUAUGUUUACGUACCUUCGUUGCUUUGGCGGGUCUUGGGGCUCGCCCCCUACCGGCUACUGGCCUAGUGCCCCGGCCGGUCCGUGCCCGCCUGAGGCCCAUCAAAUUCUGUUCAUCAGUGACGUCCGAGCAAAAACACAAUAGUAAAAACUUUCAACAACGGAUCUCUUGGUUCUGGCAUCGAUGAAGAACGCAGCGAAAUGCGACAAGUAAUGUGAAUUGCAGAAUUCAGUGAAUCAUCGAAUCUUUGAACGCACAUUGCGCCCCUCGGUAUUCCGGGGGGCAUGCCUGUUCGAGCGUCAUUGCACCCCUCAAGCUUAGCUUGGUAUUGGGUCUUCGCCCCCGUGGCGGGCCCGAAAGUCAGUGGCGGUUCGGCGCGACUUCGAGCGUAGUAAAUCUUCUCCCGCUUUGGAAGCUCGCGCUGCGGCCGGCCAUAAACGCCCAAAUCUUUCAAUGAUUGACCUCGGAUCAGGUAGGGAUACCCGCUGAACUUAA